CGCAGCUAGGAAGCUGCGUUCACACCAAGACCAGACUUCCAGGGAUGAGACUGGGGAACAGUCCCCUGCCGGAGCUUUCCUGAGCACAGGCGUCAAUCAGGCAGAUGUUUGGCGACUGGAAUGGCGCCAAAUCUCAAAGGCAGACCACGCAAAAAGAAAACAUGUCCCCAGAGAAGAGACUCCUUCAGUGGCUCAAAGGACCCCAACAAUAACUGUGACGGUAAAGUCAUCAGCAAGGUAAGGUGGGUCGUCCACUGGGACUCGUCCUGACUGAGUUUCCACUUUGACCUCUCUGAUAUCUGAUGUCUCGGUGACCGUCCGAGUUCAAUUCAGAAUCUGUCUUUGGCUCUCUCGGCUACUGGACACUUCCCUAGUGGGUGGGGAGGAUCU
rnacentral:lncRNA from 1 species